UUAACUGACAGAACAAUUGUCAAUUACUCGAGUACACGAUCAAUUGAGAUGCGUCAAUCGGUUCUGUCAAUGUGCUUCAAUCAAAUUUCCAAUCAAUCUCGGUCAAUCGCCGUCAAUCGAUUGACAAUCUCAUCAAUUGCUUCCGACACGAUCAAUUAGACGCAUCAAUAGUACCAUUGUCAAUUUUAUUGACAAUAUUAUUGACCGUCUCCGGGCUUAAGAGACGCAUCAAGCAUUUUCGCAAAAGACCGUCAUUAAUCGAAAAGAAACGUUUUAUUAAAAGUAUUAUUCGUGAAAGAACGUCCUAAUUAGUGUUAAGCUAGUGUGUUUUCAAAAAAGAAAUUAUUAUUGUGAAAUUAUUUAAGAGAAAACCGUCACAAUUAGAGUUGUGCCAGCUUGUCCCCAAAAAAACAAGAUGCAGAAACAAAAUAGGUCUUCUUUAAUUUUGAAAUUAACCAAAAAUAAUGUCGAGGUACAUAACAUAGAUCAACCUACAUAUGUGGAAAAUAGAGCAAUUCAUGAGAGAGGAUGAAAAUGAAAAAGAGAUCGAAAUAAGGCAAGACAUUUGCCGUUUAUCGGAAAAUUCUUCAGCACCAUUGAAUGAUAAGUGUGAUUUAGGUACUUUACAAAAUCUGGAAAAAGAACCUAACUGAGAUGAACUCUAUAAUAAUCAAAAUAUUCUUCAUUAGUCGGAAAAUGAUUUGGGUCAUCUAAAUGAUUCAAGUAAAAAUAUUCAAAAUCUAGAAGAAAAAGGGGAAGAGGUUUUUGAUAUUAAUCAGGAUAUUUGCUAUCCACCGCAAAAUUCUGCAUCUCAUUUUAAUGACGAUUAUGAUUUGGAUAAGGAAAAUCCAGAAAAUGGAAAAACAAGAAAUGAACUUUAUAAGAAUCAAGAUGAUGCACCUAGUACUUCCGGAAUAAAUACUGCUAGAAACAUUUUAACUGAAAGAAUUCACAAUUCAGAUACUUCGUCACAAAGUUCCUCCAGCGAUAGUGAACCAUUUGGUUCUUCACACUCAAAUGAUCCUGAUUAUGACGCGAGUUAUGUGAUGCAACCAGGCCAAGAACCUCAGUUGACCCCAUACAUAAUUAUUAUAAUUAUAAAUAUUACUGGCGCAGUCGGUAGGAUCAGUGAUGGAAUUAUUAUUGAACAUCUACUUUUUAAAAAGGAAUAAAUUUAAUUCAAAAUAAAUUCUACACAAAUUUGACCAUCGAUUAACUACAACUUUAUUCGUCGAAAAUUAAUAGAUAAGUGAUUUUAUACAAUGCAAUUUUUAUGGAGCCUAAUAAUAUUAAAAUGCUUAUUUUGUUAAUUCAGGAAUAUUUGUAAUUAUAAUAAUUAUGUAUGGGGUCAACUGAGGUUCUUGGCCUGGUUGCAUCACAUAACUCGCGUCUUCAACUUCAGAAUCAUCAUCAGAAUCAGACACAGAAAAUACCCCUGCAACAUUAACUGAGAAUAUGGAUUCUCCUAAGAAAAUAGGCAGAAAAAGAACUAGAAACUCUGCUGAUUGGAAAAAAAAACGUUGCUAAGCGAUUGCGAAAUAGUGGUCAGAGUUAUCAUUCAAUUAAGGUAACUAACAAAAAUGGAGACAAACAAAGAACACCUUGGUAGAACGAGCGGAAAAGAAAAUGUUACCUCCUUGUACUGACAAGUGCAGAUUAAAAUGCAAAGAGAAAAUCUCUGAAGAAUCUCGAAAGAAAAUUUUUAAAGAAUAUUGGAACCUUAAUGACUUACACCGACAAAGGGGAUUUAUUGCAUCUUCACUGAGUCCUAUAAAUCCCAAAUACUCAAAUUCUAACGGACGACGAGAUUUAAACCACGCUUGUUGUUUCCACUUUGAGGAAAUAAAAAGUAGAGUUUGCAAGCAUUUUUUUAUGUCUACUUUAGGGAUUACUACAAGGACUAUUAGAACUGUGCUUGAAAAUCAAAAAUCCUGUAAAACUGGUGGUAUUAUAGCAGAAGAAUUUAGAGGCAAGCAUACUAGCCACCCAAAAGUUACAAGGAAUUAAAAACCACAUAAACUCAAUUCCUAGAGUCCCGAGUCACUAUACAAGAGCUAACACUGAAGGUUCCAAAACUAUUGCCGAUCUUUAUAGGGACUAUCAGGAUCUGUGUAAGAGCAAACGGUUAAAAUAUGGCUCUUAUCGAACUUACUAUGACGUGUUUAGCCGAAAUUUCAAUCUUGCAUUUUUCUUCCCUAGAAAGGAUCAAUGCGAUCAAUGCGUUGAAUAUGCUAACUCGCGAAAAAUAUGAGACUCACCUGAAAGAAAAAAAUUUAAGUCGUUUAGAAAGGGAGAAGGAUAAAGAAACCAGAACUCAUGUUAUUACUUAUGACUUACAAGCUACUUUACCUUGUCCAUCUGGAAAAGCGUCUUCUUUUUACUAUAUUUCUAAAUUAAAUCUCUAUAAUUUGACUUUUGCUAAUUCAAUUACAAAUGAUGUUUCUUGCUAUGUCUGGCAUGAGGGUGCUGCUAAAAGGGGAGCCAAUGAAAUAGGUUCUUGUGUUUGGAAUUAUUUAGAACAACUAGAUGACAAGGCACUUCAAGAAAAUAAAUUAAUUGAUGUCAUAUUUUACACAGAUAAUUGUUCUGGACAAAAUAAGAACAGGUUCCUUUUUGCAUUGUACGCUUAUGCCGUUACUAAAUUAAAAAGUAUCAAUAAAAUAACUCAUAAAUAUUUGAUUCGGGGCCAUACACAAAAUGACGCAGAUAAUGUGCAUUCUGUAAUUGAGCAGAAAAGCACUGCUGUAUACGUACCCGAUCAAUAUAUUACCCUUAUAAGAGAAGCAAACAAAAAAGGGCAGCCCUACAAAGUUAUUGAGAAGACUUAGCCCAAAUAACUGGAUUUAAAGAUGUGUUUAAAACUAUUGACGGUGAGAGCGUAAAAACUGCCGAAAUGAAAGUCUUCGAGGUGAGAAAGGAUGAGCCUGGAAGCUUUAUUUUUAAAAUAUCCUAUGAGCAAGAAUCUUUUUCAAAGGUAAACUUUACUUCGCGCAGGAAUUCAACAUAAUUAAAGUAGUUCUUAUCAAGGCUUACAGUGAUAAGAUAGGAAUUCUCGAUUCGAAAAAAAAAGGAAUACUAUCACUAGUGGAAAAAAAUAUAGUUCCCAGUUACUACGGAGAAUUUUAUAAG